CAGCAGCCGCGGUAACACGAAGGGGGCUAGCGUUGUUCGGAAUUACUGGGCGUAAAGCGCACGUAGGCGGAUAUUUAAGUCAGGGGUGAAAUCCCGCAGCUCAACUGCGGAACUGCCUUUGAUACUGGGUAUCUUGAGUAUGGAAGAGGUUAGUGGAAUUGCGAGUGUAGAGGUGAAAUUCGUAGAUAUUCGCAGGAACACCAGUGGCGAAGGCGGCUAACUGGUCCAUAACUGACGCUGAGGUGCGAAAGCGUGGGGAGCAAACAGGAUUAGAUACCCGCGUAGUCCCUGUCUCUUAUAC
rnacentral:rRNA from 1 species